rnacentral:snoRNA from 1 species
GUGUCUAUGGGCCUCUCAUAGUGGACCCAUGCCAGAGGAAGUUGCAGCCUCAAACCAUUGCCCAGCCUCCUUACCCUUGGGCUGUGAGCACUGAAGGGGGCUGUACAGUA